rnacentral:tRNA from 1 species
GCAUUGGUGGUUCAGUGGUAGAGUUCUUGUCUUCCAAGCGGGAGACCCAGGUUCGGUUCCUAGCCAAUGCA